rnacentral:rRNA from 1 species
UACGUAGGGUGCGAGCGUUAAUCGGAAUUACUGGGCGUAAAGUGUGCGCAGGCGGUUCGUUGUGUCGGCGGUGAAAGCCCCGGGCUUAACCUGGGAACGGCCGUUGAAACUGGCGAACUGGAGUGUGGCAGAGGGGGGUGGAAUUCCGCGUGUAGCAGUGAAAUGCGUAGAGAUGCGGAGGAACACCGAUGGCGAAGGCAGCCCCCUGGGCUAACACUGACGCUCAGGCACGAAAGCGUGGGGAGCAAACAGG